rnacentral:rRNA from 1 species
UACGAAGGGGGCUAGCGUUGCUCGGAAUCACUGGGCGUAAAGCGCACGUAGGCGACUUUCUAAGUCAGGGGUGAAAUCCUGGAGCUCAACUCCAGAACUGCCUUUGAUACUGGAGAGCUUGAGUCCGGAAGAGGUGAGUGGAACUCCGAGUGUAGAGGUGAAAUUCGUAGAUAUUCGGAAGAACACCAGUGGCGAAGGCGGCUCACGGGGCCGGUACUGACGCUGAUGUGCGAAAGCGUGGGGAGCAAACAGG